GAUGAUCCCCAGCUUGCUGGGGGGAUUAGUGGCGAACGGGUGAGUAACACGUGAGUAACCUGCCCUUGACUCUGGGAUAAGCCUGGGAAACUGGGUCUAAUACUGGAUACGACCUUCUGGCGCAUGCCAUGUGGGUGGAAAGCUUUUGUGGUUUUGGAUGGACUCGCGGCCUAUCAGCUUGUUGGUGGGGUAAUGGCCUACCAAGGCGACGACGGGUAGCCGGCCUGAGAGGGUGGACGGCCACACUGGGACUGAGACACGGCCCAGACUCCUACGGGAGGCAGCAGUGGGGAAUAUUGCACAAUGGGCGCAAGCCUGAUGCAGCGACGCCGCGUGAGGGAUGAAGGCCUUCGGGUUGUAAACCUCUUUCAGUAGGGAAGAAGCGAAAGUGACGGUACCUGCAGAAGAAGCGCCGGCUAACUACGUGCCAGCAGCCGCGGUAAUACGUAGGGCGCAAGCGUUAUCCGGAAUUAUUGGGCGUAAAGAGCUCGUAGGCGGUUUGUCGCGUCUGCCGUGAAAGUCCGGGGCUUAACUCCGGAUCUGCGGUGGGUACGGGCAGACUUGAGUGAUGUAGGGGAGACUGGAAUUCCUGGUGUAGCGGUGAAAUGCGCAGAUAUCAGGAGGAACACCGAUGGCGAAGGCAGGUCUCUGGGCAUUAACUGACGCUGAGGAGCGAAAGCAUGGGGAGCGAACAGGAUUAGAUACCCUGGUAGUCCAUGCCGUAAACGUUGGGCACUA
rnacentral:rRNA from 1 species